GCUAGGACCGCCCCCAGCCUGGCGCCGCUGCCGCCCGCCUCAGCCCAACAUGGCGAUGCACAACAAGGCGGCGCCGCCGCAGAUCCCGGACACCCGGCGGGAGCUGGCAGAGCUCGUGAAGCGGAAGCAGGAGCUGGCGGAAACACUGGCAAACUUAGAGAGACAGAUCUAUGCUUUUGAAGGAAGCUACCUGGAAGACACUCAGAUGUAUGGCAAUAUUAUUCGUGGCUGGGAUCGGUAUCUGACCAACCAAAAAAACUCCAAUAGCAAAAACGAUCGAAGGAACCGGAAGUUUAAGGAAGCGGAGCGGCUCUUCAGUAAAUCCUCAGUUACUUCAGCAGCCGCAGUAAGUGCAUUGGCUGGAGUUCAGGACCAGCUCAUUGAGAAGAGGGAACCAGGAAGUGGGACGGAAAGUGAUACUUCUCCUGACUUCCACAAUCAGGAAAACGAGCCCAGCCAGGAGGACCCUGAGGAUCUGGAUGGAUCUGUGCAGGGAGUGAAACCUCAGAAGGCUGCUUCUUCUACUUCCUCAGGGAGUCAUCACAGCAGCCAUAAAAAACGGAAGAAUAAAAACCGGCACAGGUCAGUGGCAGGGACCACCUUUACCCAUCCCAGCCCCACACACUUAGAGCUUCCAUGGCCGUUGCUGUGAAGGGACUUUACUGAAAUAAACAUUCUUUGGGGUUGGUGCAGUCUUUCUGUUGCUGAUGGGGAGACAUUCAUGUGGUCCAAGGGAAACAGGCUCAUUUUUCUCUCUCUAAGGGAGGAAUUGGUGGGUAUCAGAGUAACUCCGAAGGAAGACAACUUUCUCACUGUUUCUAGUGUAGACAGAUUUGAUUCCAUGACACUUUUGUUUAAUGCAGUGACUCUGAAAUCUUUUUAGAGGAGGAAAAGGGAAGUAGAAUGGAAUCUCUGUACUAGCAUUUGGAAAAUGCCACUAGUAUGUAUCGGGAAAGGGCAAAGUGGGAUAAGUCUUUUGCUCUUAAUGCUGAUCCCUGCCUAUUCUUAUUCCCUGGAAGAUGGAGAAAACUGAUCUGACAUGCCUUUUUUCUUGUUAAAUACAAGUUUUUUGAUUCUGAUUUUUAAAUUUUUAUAUAUCACUACAAUAUACUGAUUUUAGUAUCACAGGAACAGUCUAAAGGCUGUAAGAUAUGAGAGCACCUUUCUAGAUAAUGUUGGUCUGCUGGGUUUUUUUGUUUUUGUUUUUUUUGUUUCUUUUUUGCAGUGCGUAAUGAGAUAGGAAUCACAUUGGUGGGCAGAGAUGUCAGGGGACAGCCAGAGAGGUCACGUGUCCCCCUGCUUAGGGUUAGUAUGAUAGUUCCAGGGCCUAUUAGCUUAGAUAAUUGGAAAUUAUACAGCUGCACUCAGAGAGGGUAAUGCAUAGUUUCUGGAGGCAGGAUUCUUGUCCCCAAACCUUCUUCUGAGAGGCAUGAAAACCAGAUGCUCAGUAGGCUGGCUUUUUCCUGCCCCACUUAGGAGCCUACCUGCCGAGGAUAUGAAAGGGGGCGUGCAAGGACUGGGUGGGGUUCCGUGUCCUCCAGUUUGCUUCUGGGCUGGCUUGUCCCAUAAAACAUUCCUUCACACUUGCAGGGUGUUAAUGUUAGCUUGGUGGCUGUGGCACACAGGGAUAACAGAGAAUUGACUCUUAACGGGUGUAAGCCUCCUUGGUAUCAACUGAUUCUUUAAUUCUUUUAAGAGCUUUUCUUGUCUGGUGGUGGUGGUUUUUAGACUGUAGGAAUAGUGUAUUCUCCAGAUAGUGACUAAGGACAGCUGCUUCACAUUUUUCUGCAAACCAAAAAUCACAUGCCAGUCUCAUAAGUGCAGUAAGAAAGAGCCAACAUUACAUACCUUUUUUUUUUUUGGGUAAGGCUAUAGUGAAUUUGGUCACUGUGAAAGGACUGAUGCUACUAGCUUAAUCAUAAACAGCAGAGAAGCAUACUCUUAAAAGUUUUUUUUAAUUGUCAAGAUAAAAAGAUCAUGUCCUGUGUUGCUUUUAUUAAGUUUACCCUAGUGUCAUUUUAAAAGAAAGAAUUGUUUGCCUAUUUCAGAGUAUCUAGAGUAGGGGGUAAAGUCCUUGAAAGUUCCUGGGGCAUCUUUUCCCAUCUGGACUCUCUAGAUAGCUAUUUUUUAUUUCAGGUAAUACCUUCUUUUUCUUAAUGAUCUGAUCAGUUGAUAAAAGGGAAUUAGGCAUUGAACUUAACUUUCUUCUUGCAGGUUUCUAGUAGACUCCCAUAGGAACAGCGUUUCUUAGCCUUCCUUCAUGCGGCCCUAGGGGCUAACUCCUUCCAGAAGAAUCCUAGGAUUUGUAAAGAUCUUUGAUGUUAGUUAUUGUUUUCACAGUGGGGCUUUCUGUCUGGAAAGCAGGUCCUUUUCUGAUUCCCUUGGUUUACUCUCUGGCUGGGCUUCUCCCAAGGCCUUAAGGACUCACCUGCCACCAGGGAGGAGGGUGGAGCUGGUUUGCCAUCUUCCUGGAGAAAACACCUUUAGUGCCCCUUCUCGGAUUCCUGUCAUCUUUAGUCAGGAAUUGUGUCUGGCCGAACCCCUCGCCCCCUGACUGAUGCUGUCUCAGUGGGUCUGACAGAUCGGGGGUGGGGCUGGAGCACUUUGCCUGCACAAGUUUGUAACUUUGCUCCAGGUACAGCAUUAUUUCUGCUCCAAUGUGCCACACCUCGUAUAGUCAGCUAAAGCCCAUAGUAAAUUAUUUCAACAAAAGUCUGCAUACCCCCCAUGUGCCAGGACUGUUUAGUUUAGUAGAAAUAAAGUUUUCCUUUGGCAGAAAGGAAUAACUUUGAAUUUGUCCUCUUUAGGAAUAUGAAAGUUUAUCAAACAAUUUUUAGCAUUCAUAAAAGACAGCAAUAAUAUAAAUUCUCGUGUUUUACGUAGUAACUGAAUGAUAAGUCCCAAUGUCUUUAAAGAAAAAACUUGAAGUUAUAACCUACAUUUGCUCUUACAGGUUUUUACUACUAUAUCUAGAAUUCUUCUAGGUGGUUUAUGAAGUUUUCAUUAAAUAGGUACAGACUACUUUAAUUUCUGGACAAAGUUUUAGGCUGAAAGUUUAAUUUUUGAUAGUUUCUGGUUUGUGCACUUACUGUAUACUUCUCCUAAAUGUCUUAUGUGAAACUAUUGCAUAAGAGCUAUUGAAGUGAAGCUUUCUUCCAGCUUCACUCUUGCAAACAUUGGCUAGGAGGAAAUAUAGCCGUUUUGUAUAUUGUUUUGCCACCUAUCUACAGUCUGAAAGGCACUGGAACCAGCUAAGGAACCGGUGUCAUGCUCCUGGUUAAUGUUUGCUUUGGAGGUCUGCCCAGACCACGGUCUGUUAGCAGUGAUGGCUGGAAAUGACCUUCUCCUCUGGGCGGCUCCUAUCCAGACCCCUGAGGCUUGGGUGCUCACAGAUGUCAGCUUCCCUUUGUUUUAAGAGAGGAGCUGCAGGCCUUGGCAUUCCCAUAUUGCAGCCCUGACAUAAACAAGUAACUGCCCUCACUGAUUCAGGGACAGAGUAAUAUGGCUUUGUAGUUUCUAGAACAAGACUCUUAUCUGACCCUCGGCUUCCAGCAUAAAUGCUGAGAGAAGGAGUAUUAUGUUUGGACACGCUUAAGACAUAAAACUUAGAAAUUGCAGAAUGUUUUCUUUUUCAAAAAUCGAUGAUGCUUUUAUCUUUCAUUUUCGUGAAAGUAUAUUAUGCUAAGUUGUUCGUACUGUCUUCAAAGCACCUUUCAUUAUAUGACUAAACCUUUUCUCUAUUCCUUCUAAUGCCCCGUUUUAUUUUUCAUUACAUUUAAAUAUUUUAAAAGUUCUAACUCAAUCUGGCAGCUAAUAGAAGGCCUGCAGGUAUCUAGUUUUCUAAUGAAAUAACUUUUCUUUUUAUAGUCUGUUCUUCUGAUAUGAAAUCCAUUGAGGGAAAGGAAUCUCCCAACCACAAGAUCUUUGGUUCUUUGAUGUUUGCAACUUUAUGGCUUAAGAUUCUUUAAACUGAUUUUGUUUCUACAAAUCUUGCUAAUUAGGGUGGCUAAUCAACUAAUUUAUUCAAUUAGUAUAUUAAUUUCUAUUGCUUUCUUCCUUUCAAAUGCUGCCCCUCAGCCCGUCUGGCAUGUUUGAUUAUGACUUUGAGUAAGUUUGAUUUGAAUUAGUAUUUGUGCUGUGUUGUUUAGUGUGUAGAGACCAAUAUGCCUUUUUAAGACCUUUCUAACCCAUAGUUUAUCUGUUUAAUUGUAGGUAUGUAUAUUAGGUUAGGCUGGGAAGUUUUUUUUAAAAACAGAAAAACGUGAUGGAGGAUUGAUCUGAAGUUAAACAAAAAACCACGCGCUGACUAUUAGAAGACUCAUUAGUGCAGAAGCUUCCAGGCUGCAGAGCCCUGCUUCCCUCCUCCGACCUCACAAAGAUAAACAUCCCUUACCUGAGUGGUGGCCAUCCAUCUCUGCUUGCCCAGACCCAGUGCCUGUGACUCUGAGUAGUUUGUUCGGAAACGUGGUGACAAACAAGUCAUUUCUGUAAGACCACAUCGGAUCAUUCACUUUGUGUCAUUUUUAGUAACAGAACUGCAGGAAGACCCAAGACAUGGUUAUAGUCCCAGCAAGCUGCUAACUGUGCAUUUCUCCCUUCUUGGAAUGAACGUCUCCCCCCAGACUGGCUGGCACCAGCUUCAUCUGUGAUACGCGUCGGAAAAUGUUCUCUGGGUUUGUUUUUAUGCUGAAAGUAGGACACAGGUCACAUUUCAGAGGGAGGCUGUAAAUAUCUGGUGUUUUCUUAUUUUGUUUGUGUUUUAUCAUUUUUCUGUUGUUGUUUUUACCAUCUUGUUUUCUUUGGGGACUUUUCAUAAUGCCGUUGUACAGCUCAUACCUUCCUGCUUACAUAUCUGAUCAUCUGUUUUGUGCAGUUGCCAAUAUUCUGAACUGAAAAUAAUCUGGUUUACCAUAAAUAAAAUGGGGACUUGGCUUUUGGGGGGUUUUUUGCAGGGGGAAGGUAAAGAGUGUUUAUUUAAGAAUUACCUAUCUUAAAUCUGAGUUGGAAGCAGUUUCAUGUUCAAGGAACAGGAAAAGCUGAAAAGUGGGUUUAAAUCAGUCCUUUUAAAAUAGAUAUUUUUAUUCUUUUUGUAUAAAUAAAAUUUCACAGGCUUUGACUUCUCAUGCUUUACUUUUAAAUCGGAAGUUGUUUUCUCACUUAUUUAUUCGUAUCAUGCCUUACGGAAAUUUCUCUUUUUCCAUCUCUUCUCUCUUUGCUGAUAUUUGCCUGAUUAAAUAAUUGUUCUGAAAACCACUAAGGCAAAUGGAAAGGCUCCAUACUGUACCCAAAGCUGAUAACAUCCAGAGCUCUUGAGCCGAGUGAAUGCAUGAUCACCGAGAGGCCGUGACGCCCAGCAGAUGCCCUGUCCUUUCGGGGUGGAUGGGCUGAGGAACCUGCUGACGGCUAUUACCCGCCUCUGGAACGACCCACCUCAGCUGCACAUCGGCAUCACAUGGGAUGCCUAAAAAGUACUGAUGCCUGGGUCCCACCUGCCAAGACUGACGCAGGUGCAAUCUAGCACUGGGGGGAGUCUUUCAAAGAGUCCCUGGGAUUCUGAUAAGAAGCCAAGUUGCGAACCACUGCAUCAGAAGACUGGAUGGUUCGAUUUCAGUUCUCUGUCCUGAAUCAGUUUAAGGGAUGCAAUGUGGGGCCUCACCUUUCCUUUGACUCUAUUUAGUCAUAGUCCCUUACUUAUGUCCAUAUCUCUGUUAGAAAAAAAGAUGUUCCAUUUGUGAUAAUAUCGGUAGGACUGAACCAAGGAUUGCGUCUGUGAUCAAAACACGUCUACCCUGUCAGAUGUGCAAAAGCUUUCACUCUUGUUCUCAAAUAAACGUUGUUUUUUUUUUUU